GAUGAACGCUGGCGGCGUGCUUAACACAUGCAAGUCGAACGGAAAGGCUCCUGCUUGCAGGGGUACUCGAGUGGCGAACGGGUGAGUAACACGUGGGUGAUCUGCCCUGCACUUCGGGAUAAGCCUGGGAAACUGGGUCUAAUACCGGAUAGGACCACAUUUUGGAUGGUGUGGUGGAAAGUUUUUCGGUGUGGGAUGAGCUCGCGGCCUAUCAGCUUGUUGGUGGGGUAAUGGCCUACCAAGGCGUCGACGGGUAGCCGGCCUGUGAGGGUGUACGGCCACAUUGGGACUGAGAUACGGCCCAGACUCCUACGGGGGGCAGCAGUGGGGAAUAUUGCACAAUGGGCGCAAGCCUGAUGCAGCGACGCCGCGUGGGGGAUGACGGCCUUCGGGUUGUAAACUCCUUUCGCUAGGGACGAAGCGUUUUUGUGACGGUACCUGGAGAAGAAGCACCGGCUAACUACGUG
rnacentral:rRNA from 1 species